rnacentral:lncRNA from 1 species
UGGGGUUGCAAAGAGUCGGACAUGACUGAGCGACUUUCACUUCACUUCACUUCAGGGGAAGUUUCAAAGGAAGAAGCGGCCCUGAGAUAGGAAAUAACAAGAGGACAUUCUUGAGUAGAGAAGAAAGAAUAAAGAAAGAUGUAGAGGAGGCCGAGCUCAGGAUAAGUUCAGAAGACAAGGAGUCAGCAAUCUGGUACAUGUCAGGGAGCCAUGAUGGUCUCUUCAAUCUGGCACUGAAUAAUUGAGAAUGGCAGAAAACCCACACAAAAACGGACAAGACUUUCAUGCACCAAAAUAGCAUACUUUGAAAAUUCUCCCAUUCCAGUCAAACCUUUUGUUCAUAGUCACAUCUAGCUAGCUUCCUGCAAGAAAAAAGUUGUGAGUUCUAACUUUGGUUUUGAUGGGAGUGGUGAUUUGGGUUUUCCUUUUGUUUCGGUUUGUUCAUCUGUAAAAUGAGUCUGUGUUUCAAAAUGUGAGUUGUAAUUCAUUAGUAAAUUAUUUUAUCAAUUUGGUGGGUGGUGACUGGCAAUAAAAUUGAAACCAGAGUG